AGAAUCAACGCUGGCGGCGUGCCUAACACAUGCAAGUCGAACGCGACUGGGGCUUCGGCUCCAGUUGAGUGGCGAACGGGUGAGUAACACGUGGGUGACCUACCUUCGAAUGGGGGAUAACGUCCCGAAAGGGACGCUAAUACCGCAUAACAUCCCGCUCUUGAAUGGGGGGAGAUCAAAGCCGGGGAUCGCAAGACCUGGCGUUUGGAGAGGGACCCGCGUCCGAUUAGCUAGUUGGUGAGGUAACGGCCCACCAAGGCGACGAUCGGUAGCCGGCCUGAGAGGGCGACGGCCACGACUGGGACUGGAGACA
rnacentral:rRNA from 1 species